AUUGAACGCUGGCGGCAUGCUUUACACAUGCAAGUCGAACGGUAACAGGCCGCAAGGUGCUGACGAGUGGCGAACGGGUGAGUAAUGCAUCGGAACGUGCCCAGUCGUGGGGGAUAACGCAGCGAAAGCUGCGCUAAUACCGCAUACGAUCUAUGGAUGAAAGCGGGGGACCGUAAGGCCUCGCGCGAUUGGAGCGGCCGAUGUCAGAUUAGGUAGUUGGUGGGGUAAAGGCUCACCAAGCCAACGAUCUGUAGCUGGUCUGAGAGGACGACCAGCCACACUGGGACUGGGACACGGCCCAGACUCCUACGGGAGGCAGCAGUGGGGAAUUUUGGACAAUGGGCGCAAGCCUGAUCCAGCAGUGCCGCGUGCAGGAAGAAGGCCUUCGGGUUGUAAACUGCUUUUGUACGGAACGAAACGGUUCUGGUUAACACCUGGGGCUAAUGACGGUACCGUAAGAAUAAGCACCGGCUAACUACGUGCCAGCCGCCGCAGUAACAC
rnacentral:rRNA from 1 species